rnacentral:rRNA from 1 species
AUGGUUGUCGUCAGCUCGUGUCGUGAGAUGUUGGGUUAAGUCCCGCAACGAGCGCAACCCUCGACCUUAGUUGCCAGCAUUCAGUUGGGCACUCUAAGGUGACCGCCGGCUAAAAGUCGGAGGAAGGUGGGGAUGACGUCAAAUCAUCAUGCCCCUUAUGACCUGGGCUACACACGUGCUGCAAUGGGCGGUACAAAGGGUCGCGAACUCGCGAGGGGGAGCCAAUCCCAAAAAGCCGCUCUCAGUUCGGAUUGCAGGCUGCAACUCGCCUGCAUGAAGCCGGAAUCGCUAGUAAUCGCGGAUCAGCAUGCCGCGGUGAAUACGUUCCCGGGCCUU